rnacentral:rRNA from 1 species
UGUAAGCGUAUACCAAAGUUGUUGCAGUUAAAACGCUCGUAGUCGGAAUUUGGCAGUUCCGGAUGUGUGCACGUCGUGUGCGCACUUCGCGGGGAUUGCUUUUGUGGUCUUGCGUAGGAUGAGGCACUUUUAUUAGUGAACGUCCUCACGCAACCACUUUUUACUGUGAGAAAAUCAGAGUGCUCAAAGCAGGCAUUUGCCGUGAAUGUAUUAGCAUGGAAUAAUAGAAUAGGACUUGGUUCUAUUUUGUUGGUUUGUUGGGACUGAGUAAUGAUUAAGAGGGACAGUUGGGGGCAUUUGUAUCAACGCGUCAGAGGUGGAAUUCUUGGAUUGCGUUGCGACAAACUACUGCGAAAGCAUUUGCCAAGGAUGUUUUCAUUGA